UGGCUCUUCUUCUAACGGAAUAGGAAAGUGCGCUCUGACCGCAUUAAUGAAAGUUCGAGUCUUUCAGAGCCAG
rnacentral:tRNA from 2 species